rnacentral:rRNA from 1 species
AACGAACGCUGGCGGCAGGCCUAACACAUGCAAGUCGAACGAGAAGCCACCUUCGGGUGGUGGACAGUGGCAGACGGGUGAGUAACGCGUGGGAACGUGCCUUUCGGUUCGGGAUAACUCAGGGAAACUUGAGCUAAUACCGGAUAAGCCCGAGAGGGGAAAGAUUUAUCGCCGAAGGAUUGGCCCGCGUCCGAUUAGCUAGUUGGUGAGGUAAUGGCUCACCAAGGCGACGAUCGGUAGCUGGUCUGAGAGGAUGAUCAGCCACACUGGGACUGAGACACGGCCCAGACACCUACGGGUGGCUG